rnacentral:lncRNA from 1 species
UGCCUUUUUUUUCCUACCUGCACGACCAAGGCGGGAGACGGCAAUGGGACCGCAAAGCACCGGCCGACGAGCAAGUUGGAGGAGGGAGGCGAAAAACAGAUGGUACAUAUGACGGACUAAAAGACAGGCGCAGCCUCAAUGUCGGCCUCGAUCGACGUCAGUACCAAAACAAACCUGCCGCUGACAAAGUCGCCCGGUCGGGUGUCGGCGCCCGGUGCCUCGACGCGCGACCACGCGCCGCGGAUCGUCGCGCCACCGUCGGCAUCCAUCGUCAUCGCGCCACGAAAUGCAUAGCGUGCCGCAGCGUGGUUCUUUAGGGGCUCGCACUGGCCGAGCAGCGUCGUGUAGGUCUGCGUCCACGCCAGGGCCAUGCCACCGUUGUCGGCGCGCAUGCACGCCACGCCGCACGCCUCAAAGGCGCCCAGACUGUCGGCGCCGCUGGCAUCAAAAUGGGACGUGGUCGACGUAACGCCUUGCCAUCGGUCAAUGUGCCAUGCAGCAUGACACAUGACGGGGUCGGAUUGCGGUUGCCCGCGCCACACACGGCCACACACACGGUCGCCGCCCAGGAUGCUGGCAAUAUCGCGACGACCGGCAUCGCAGGCGCCAUACGUGUUUGCCGAGAGAACCAGUGCGGCGUCCUUGCCGCGGUCGUGCCAGGCCUGUGCGACCACGGCUGCUGCGGCCACGACGCUGGCAAAGCACACUGAUGUAAAAAGCCAAUUGACCAGGCGCUCGCAUUCGGCUGCAUUCUCGGGUGAUCGCAUGACAAGGGUGCCGACGACUGCGCCGACUAGUAUCAUCUGAAGCGUAAACACGACGGCAAUGCAUGCCAGCGUUGCCCUCGCAAGGCACGACGGCGUCCCGCUACUUGUUAGGAUGCCAUGCGUCGGCGCGGCGCCAAUUUCCUCCAUAGCAACGAUGGUCGUUAUUUG